rnacentral:tmRNA from 1 species
GGGGGUGAAAUGGUUUCGACGGGAUUGGUGAGGGAUUGUCGGCGUGCCGAGGGACUCCGGAUUUCUCGAAAAACAUCCGGUACACCAUAUAAAUGGCGAAUACAAUUAUGCCAUGGCUGCCUAACUAAUAAUUAGGUAACCCGUUCCACCUGCCUGCCGCCUUUCCGGGCGGGCUGGAGCGACGGUCAGGAAGGCUCGGUUGACCGAACGCCUUUACGGGAAACUUAAAAAAUAAAGGCUGGCGCCGGUUGUGGCCUGCCGCUCGGCAGCAAUCGGAGCGAGAAUAAAAGAGUCGGCUACGCACGUAGAUGAUGAUCUGGCACCCUUUUCGGACGGGGGUUCGACUCCCCCCACCUCCAUUA